rnacentral:rRNA from 1 species
UACGUAGGGGGCAAGCGUUGUCCGGAAUCAUUGGGCGUAAAGCGCGCGUAGGCGGCCCGGUAAGUCCGCUGUAAAAGUCCAAGGCUCAACCAUGUGGUCUGCAGUCGAUACGGGCAGGCUAGAAUUCGGUAGGGGAGACUGGAAUUCCUGGUGUAGCGGUGGAAAUGCGCAGAUAUCAGGAGGAACACCGGUGGCGAAGGCGGUUCUCUGGGCAUUACCUGACGCUGAGGAGCGAAAGCAUGGGGAGCGAACAGG